GGAUUAGUACGCUGGUCGUGCCUUCGGUACGUACUGGUGUUACUGAUUCCUACCUUCUGACGAACCAUCAUGUCAUUAAUUUGGUGUGGCGGGGAAUCAGGACUGUUACUUUGAAAAAAUUAGAGUGUUUAAAGCAGGCUCGCGCUUGAAUACAUUAGCAUGGAAUAAUGAGAUAGGACGUUGAUCCUAUUUUGUUGGUUUCUAGGAUUGACGUAAUGAUUAAUAGGGAUAGUUGGGGGCAUUAGUAUUCAAUUGUCAGAGGUGAAAUUCUUGGAUUUAUUGAAGACUAACUACUGCGAAAGCAUUUGCCAAGGAUGUUUUCAUUAAUCAAGAACGAAAGUUAGGGGAUCGAAGACGAUCAGAUACCGUCGUAGUCUUAACCAUAAACUAUGCCGACUAGGAAUCAGACGAUGUUAAUUUUUUAAUGACUCGUUUGGCACCUUACGGGAAACCAAAGUGUUUGGGUUCCGGGGGGAGUAUGGUCGCAAGGCUGAAACUUAAAGGAAUUGACGGAAGGGCACCACCAGGGGUGGAGCCUGCGGCUUAAUUUGACUCAACACGGGGAAACUCACCAGGUCCAGACAUAGUAAGGAUUGACAGAUUGAGAGC
rnacentral:rRNA from 1 species